rnacentral:rRNA from 1 species
CACGUAGGGCGCGAGCGUUGUCCGGAAUUAUUGGGCGUAAGGAGCUCGUAGGCGGCCUGUUGCGUCCGCUGUGAAAGCCCGGGGCUUAACCCCGGGUCUGCAGUGGAUACGGGCAGGCUAGAGGUAGGUAGGGGAGAAUGGAAUUCCCGGUGUAGCGGUGAAAUGCGCAGAUAUCGGGAGGAACACCGGUGGCGAAGGCGGUUCUCUGGGCCUUACCUGACGCUGAGGAGCGAAAGCGUGGGGAGCGAACAGG